UCUUCACAGACCACACCUACGUCUGACUAAUUGUCUUUCAAAGUUGAACUCAGCCAGUCUCUUAAAUUGCUAAGGUCAGGUGCAGCACUCCCCAAAGAAGUAGAGUUCCAGGCGUUGGUGUAUUUUUCCUAUUGCUUCACACCUGGAACCAGAGGCAUCCAUUACAGCUCCAGGAAGACAUGCAGGGAGAUAAUAUCAAAUCUGCACAUGAUGACUGCAACUUGUUCCAACUACCUGUACCUUUCUUCGAAUAGAACCUUCCUCUGGAAACCAGCACCUGAUGGGAGAACAGUGGAGUCUGACCCUAACAGUCAAUUCUCCAAGAUGUAAGGACGUAUUUCUAGUUUGUGGCUUUGCCUCCAAUGAUCCGGUCAGUUAGAGGCAACCCUCCUGGGAAGUAUCUUUCCAAUGAGGACUGCUAUAAACAUUCCUAGAGCACUCUGCUUGCCAGAAUAUUUAGGCAAAU